rnacentral:rRNA from 1 species
AUUGAACGCUGGCGGCAGGCUUAACACAUGCAAGUCGAGCGGAGAUGAGGUGCUUGCACCUUAUCUUAGCGGCGGACGGGUGAGUAAUGCUUAGGAAUCUGCCUAUUAGUGGGGGACAACAUUCCGAAAGGAAUGCUAAUACCGCAUACGCCCUACGGGGGAAAGCAGGGGAUCUUCGGACCUUGAGAUAAUAGAUGAGCCUAAGUCGGAUUAGCUAGUUGGUGGGGUAAAGGCCUACCAAGGCGACGAUCUGUAGCGGGUCUGAGAGGAUGAUCCGCCACACUGGGACUGAGACACGGCCCAGACUCCUACGGGAGGCAGCAGUGGGGAAUAUUGGACAAUGGGCGGAAGCCUGAUCCAGCCAUGCCGCGUGUGUGAAGAAGGCCUUUUGGUUGUAAGCACUUUAAGCGAGGAGGAGGCUACCUGGAUUAAUACUCUAGGAUAGUGGACGUUACUCGCAGAAUAAGCACCGGCUAACUCUGUGCCAGCCGCCGCGGUAAAAC